rnacentral:rRNA from 1 species
GACGAACGCUGGCGGCGUGCCUAAUACAUGCAAGUCGAGCGGACCAAUAGAAGCUUGCUUCUAUUGGUUAGCGGCGGACGGGUGAGCAACACGUGGGCAACCUGCCUGUAAGACUGGGAUAACUUCGGGAAACCGGAGCUAGUACCGGAUAAUUCAUCCCCUCGCAUGAGGAGGUGCUGAAAGUCGGUUCACGCUGACACUUACAGAUGGGCCUGCGGCGCAUUAGCUAGUUGGUGAGGUAAUGGCUCACCAAGGCGACGAUGCGUAGUCGACCUGAGAGGGUGAUCGGCCACACUGGGACUGAGACACGGCCCAGACUCCUACGGGAGGCAGCAGUAGGGAAUCUUCCACAAUGGACGAAAGUCUGAUGGAGCAACGCCGCGUGAGCGAUGAAGGCCUUCGGGUCGUAAAGCUCUGUUGUUAGGGAAGAACAAGUACCGGAGUAACUGCCGGUACCUUGACGGUACCUAACCAGAAAGCCACGGCUAACUACGUGCCAGCCGCCGCGGUAA